rnacentral:rRNA from 1 species
CUAUGCACAAUCCAGGAAGGCAGCAGGCGCGUAAAUUGCCCGAAUCCUGACACAGGGAGGUAGUGACAAGAAAUAACAAUACAGGGCUACUUCUAGUCUUGUAAUUGGAAUGAGUACAACUUGCAUCUCUUCACGAGGAUCAAUUGGAGGGCAAGUCUGGUGCCAGCAGCCGCGGUAAUUCCAGCUCCAAUAGCGUAUAUUAAUGUUGUUGCAGUUAAAAAGCUCGUAGUUGGAUUUCUGGUGGGAGCGGCCGGUCCGCCGUAAGGUGUGUACUUGGUUGUCUCCUGUCAUCCUUGUGGGAACUGCUCUGGCAUUAAGUUGUCGGGGUUAGGGAACACAUCGUUUACUGUGAAAAAAUUAGAGUGUUUAAAGCAGGCUUAUGCCGUUGAAUACAUUAGCAUGGAAUAAUAAGAUAGGACUUUGGCGUCUAUUUUGUUGGUUUGCACACCAAGGUAAUGAUUAAUAGGGAUAGUUGGGGGUAUUCGUAUUUAAUUGUCAGAGGUGAAAUUCUUGGAUUUAUGAAAGACGAACUUCUGCGAAAGCAUUUACCAAAGAUGUUUUCAUUAAUCAAGAACGAAAGUUAGGGGAUCGAAGAUGAUUAGAUACCAUCGUAGUCUUAACCAUAAACUAUGCCGACUAGGGAUUGGCGGUCGUUCAUUUAUGACUCCGUCAGCACCUUAUGAGAAAUCAAAGUCUUUGGGUUCCGGGGGGAGUAUGGUCGCAAGGCUGAAACUUAAAGGAAUUGACGGAAGGGCACCACCAGGAGUGGAGCCUGCGGCUUAAUUUGACUCAACACGGGGAAACUUACCAGGUCCAGACAUUGUUAGGAUUGACAGAUUGAGAGCUCUUUCUUGAUUCGAUGGGUGGUGGUGCAUGGCCGUUCUUAGUUGGUGGAGUGAUUUGUCUGGUUAAUUCCGUUAACGAACGAGACCUUAACCUGCUAAAUAGUGGCGCUUACUCUUUGUAGGCGGCCAACUUCUUAGAGGGACAACUUGUUUUCAUCAAGUGGAAGUUUGAGGCAAUAACAGGUCGGGGUGAUGCCCCUGGGCUCCACAU